rnacentral:rRNA from 1 species
CCUACGGUGUGCUGCAGUGAGGAAUAUUGGUCAAUGGGCGUAAGCCUGAACCAGCCAAGUCGCGUGAGGGAUGAAGGUUCUAUGGAUCGUAAACCUCUUUUAUAAGGGAAUAAAGUGCGGGACGUGUCCCGUUUUGUAUGUACCUUAUGAAUAAGGAUCGGCUAACUCCGUGCCAGCAGCCGCGGUAAUACGGAGGAUCCGAGCGUUAUCCGGAUUUAUUGGGUUUAAAGGGAGCGUAGGCGGCCUUUUAAGUCAGUGGUGAAAGUCUGGGGCUGAACCCGAGAAUUGCAGUUGAAACUGGGAGGCUUGAGUAUAGUAGAGGAGGGCGGAAUGCGUGGUGUAGCGGUGAAAUGCUUAGAUAUAACGAAGAACCCCGAUUGCGAAGGCAGCCUUCCGGGCCAUAACUGACGCUGAGGCACGAAAGCGUGGGGAUCAAACAGGAUUAGAUACCCUUGUAGUC